GGUAUAAAAUACGGUACAUAGGACUUUAACUGCGUAUUAAAAGAGGAGGCGUGUAGUUCAACAUCUGAAUAAUAAUCCGUUGAACCAAGCAAGAAAACGAGGAUUCAGAAAAAUGUCUGACAAGAAGGGAUAUCAGGGCACUGGAGACAAACCAGAUCUUGAUAACCAUGGUAACCAAUGUAACCCUAACAACCCGGAGUACCGAGGAUAUACCCCUGGAUACUCUGGGAAGGGAGACAAGCCUGACCUUGAUCACCAUGGCCAACAGUUGAAUCCCAACAACCCCAAGUAUCAGCCUAAGAAGUAGAGGGCAAUUCUGUACAAUCAUGGAACAGUAGUUUAGCAUCUUGGAUUAGAUUUUUAACCAUUCUUGAUUUGUGUGAAAAUCCCUAGAGAACAUGUGAUUUUUGAACGAAGAGACCAUCUUUCAAAUUCUGUUCUAUAAUCCUUGCAAAUGAACGUAAAACAAGAAGGAAUAAGACAGUCAUGUUGACAUCCUGGUGACCAGACCUUGUGUUAUACAAACAACAGUAUCACAUACAACUGUUAAUAAGGAAAAAAUUCUAUUCAUCCUGACAAUAAGUGACUCUUCAGAAGACAUGCACUAGACAUAAUAACUGCAAGUUCUACUCUAAAGCAAUAUUUGCAAAAUUUCCAAUACUUUGUUGUAAUUUUUCUAAUAUUUAAGUCAAAUAUUCCUAAUAUUCAAAUAAAGAUCACAGAGUA
rnacentral:lncRNA from 1 species